CGGCAGGCUUAACACAUGCAAGUCGAACGGGCACCUUCGGGUGUCAGUGGCAGACGGGUGAGUAACACGUGGGAACGUACCCUUCGGUUCGGAAUAACUCAGGGAAACUUGAGCUAAUACCGGAUACGCCCUUAUGGGGAAAGGUUUACUGCCGAAGGAUCGGCCCGCGUCUGAUUAGCUUGUUGGUGGGGUAACGGCCUACCAAGGCGACGAUCAGUAGCUGGUCUGAGAGGAUGAUCAGCCACACUGGGACUGAGACACGGCCCAGACUCCUACGGGAGGCAGCAGUGGGGAAUAUUGGACAAUGGGCGCAAGCCUGAUCCAGCCAUGCCGCGUGAGUGAUGAAGGCCUUAGGGUUGUAAAGCUCUUUUGUCCGGGACGAUAAUGACGGUACGGAAGAAUAAGCCCCGGCUAACUUCGUGCCAGCAGCCGCGGUAAUACGAAGGGGGCUAGCGUUGCUCGGAAUCACUGGGCGUAAAGGGCGCGUAGGCGGCCGAUUAAGUCGGGGGUGAAAGCCUGUGGCUCAACCACAGAAUUGCCUUCGAUACUGGUUGGCUUGAGACCGGAAGAGGACAGCGGAACUGCGAGUGUAGAGGUGAAAUUCCGUAGAUAUUCGCAAGAACACCAG
rnacentral:rRNA from 1 species